ensembl:rRNA 5S_rRNA 5S ribosomal RNA
GCUUACGGCCAUACCACCCUGAGAACGCCCGAUCUCGUCUGAUCUCGGAAGCUAAGCAGGGUCGGGCCUGGUUAGUACUUGGAUGGGAGACCGCCUGGGAAUACCCGGUGCUGUAAGCU